GAUGAACGCUGGCGGCGUGCCUAAUACAUGCAAGUCGAGCGAACAGACGAGGAGCUUGCUCCUCUGACGUUAGCGGCGGACGGGUGAGUAACACGUGGAUAACCUACCUAUAAGACUGGGAUAACUUCGGAAAACCGGAGCUAAUACCGGAUAAUAUAUUGAACCGCAUGGUUCCAUAGUGAAAGACGGUUUUGCUGUCACUUAUAGAUGGCUCCGCGCCGCAUUAUCUAGUUGGUAAGGGAACGGCUUACCAAGGCAACGAUGCGUAGCCGACCUGAGAGCGUGAUCGGCCACACUGGAACUGAGACACGGUCCAGACUCCUACGGGAGGCAGCAGUAGGGAAUCUUCCGCAAUGGGCGAGAGCCUGACGGGGCAACGCCGCGUGAGUGAUGAAGGUCUUCGGAUCGUAGAACUCUGUUAUUAGGGAAGAGCAAAUGUGUAAGUAACUAUGCACGUCUUGACGGUACCUAAUCAGAAAGCCACGGCUAACUACGUG
rnacentral:rRNA from 1 species